AUUUGUAUUUUCUUUCUUUUUAGAUGAUCAUGGGAACAGCAAUGGCAGUCAUGUAAAAAUCUUUUUACCGAAGAAGCUGCUUGAAUGUCUACCAAAAUGUUCAAGUUUACCAAAAGAGAGGCACCGUUGGAAUACUAAUGAGAGAUCUUGAUGCAGACGUCCUUUUGGAUUUCUUUUUAAUAAUGUGUGACCCUUCACCUUUGAUCCCUUGACCUGCAUUACCUUGGUAACCAUUUCAUUUUAAUUUAAUUUCAUUUUUUAAUUUUUGUGUGCAAGCUGUAACUUUUCAUCAUCUUAAAUUGUAACAUUUGUUGACUUCCCUAAACAUAUAAAUGUCCCUUUUACCUAUGAAGUUAUAUAAUGUUGGUUUCAUUUUUGUAUUAAAAAUUCAUUUCAGUUGUAAAAAUAAAGUGUUAAAAUCUCAUUGUUUUCAUUUUCUUUUAAGUUUAACUGUGUGCAUGUUUUUGUACUGUGCAUUACUUUUUCUAUCCAUGUUUUUAGAAGACUUAACAUCAAAAUAAUUUUAAUUUUGUACUUCUAAUGUUAGCUUGCAAUUCCUCAGUAGUUUUCAGUCUGAGUAGGAAUUUCUCUGGAUUUCUUUUGUUGUCUUACUUUGUCCUACUCACAUUUUAAUAGUAUAAAAUGUUUGAGAGAACAUGUAAAAUUAUAUUCUUCUAAGGAACAUAAUAAAAAGUUGAUAACAUUUUUCACA